GAAAAAAUGUUUUUAAAAGAGCGCUGUCCAGCACGCAAAUUCUAAGCAAGCCUCGCCUCCACAAUGGGGUCCAGAAGGAAAGGGAUCUUCCUUGUCCAAAAAGCCCUGCGAGAGAGAGAGAGAGAGAGAAAAGGGGGAGAGCGCAGUGUAAGAUCCCGCUGGACUUUUCUCCACCGGUCGCCCCGGCGAGAAGAAAAAGGAAAGGAGGGAAAGGGGUGGGGUGAGGGAUGUGUCAGUGGCCGGGCAAAAGCCGCCGCCGCCGCCGCCUGCUCCCGCUGCCGCCCGUCCCUUGUUAGGCUAAUUGCAUUGGCUCGUCAUCUUCCUCUUCCUCCUCCUUUGCAAAGCCUUAGCGCUUAGGAGAGGGCGGAGGAGAGCAGAGGCGCUUGCCGCUGCCUCCUUCGGGCGCGCACGCAUGCACCCGUGUCUGAAGCAUUGAGGAAAGAGGGGAGGAGGACACCCAUAUAUACAAGUUGUCCAAGGACAGGGAAAUAAAUCAAGAUUCCCGCCCCCUCCCCGUGACCGGCAUUUCCUUCUCAGGCGACGGGGGAGCGCAAGGUCCGGGCCAGGUUGGCGAGGGGACCGGAUGCUCCUUUGGAGAAGCUCAGGAAUUUGAAAACUUUUCUGCCCGAUCCUGCCAGGCAUGUGACACGGAAGUCUUGCCUGCUGCAUACGCUUUUGGCACACAGUUUGAACCGGCCCAGGCCGAUUGCAACCUGAAGCGGGGAGAGGGGAGGCGGGGAGAAGCCAUCGAUCAGGGGAAGCUUUGCUCGACUCUUAAGUCCAAUAAGAGGUCCAAAUUGCCCUUCUCAGGUCUUUUGCUGAAGAAUUGCAGCUUCCAGUUCAGCAGAUAAAUGACCAAAGAAAAUGAAGAAGAUAAAUUUCUUCUUUUGCAAGAAGUGGACAGAAAUGACUAAAUAAACCUCUUAGAGGAGAGGAGAAGCUGGGGAGCAAGUGAUAUUGAAACCUUUGCCCUCGAUAACUAAGAUUCCAGAAAAGUCAACUGUGGGGCUUGAGCCAAUGGAUGUCUUCAGGAUAAUUUUUGAAUGAAAACAGCACAGGAGGAACGAGUUCCAUUCUUUUCCAUUCCCAUUUCCUAAGCAAAUU